AGAGAGAGACAUGCGCGCAUAUCAAUAAGCGGAGGAAAAGAAACUAACAAGGAUUCCCUUAGUAACGGCGAGUGAAGCGGGAAGAGCUCAAAUUUGAAAUCUUCAAGGUUUACCUUGACGAAUUGUAGUUUGAAAGAAGUGUUUUCUGCUGAAGUUUUGGUAAAAGUUCUUUGGAAUAGGACAUCAUAGAGGGUGAGAAUCCCGUAUUUGACCAUUAUUUUCAGCUUUGUGAUACACUCUCAAAGAGUCGGAUUGUUUGGGAAUGCAGUCCAAAAUGGGUGGUAAAUUUCAUCUAAAGCUAAAUAUUGGCGAGAGACCGAUAGCGAACAAGUACCGUGAGGGAAAGAUGAAAAGAACUUUGAAAAGAGAGUUAAACAGUACGUGAAAUUGUCAAAAGGGAAGCGUUUGACACCAGUGUUGUUUUCUCGAAAAUCAAUUAAAAAUGGCUCGAUUUUGUAUUGCUUGAGACCUUAAAAGCUCACUGUACAUUUUUCGUGUCUUUUUUAAUGCACUUUUCGUUUAACAAGUCAACAUCAGUUUCUUUUGUUGUAAAAGGGUCAUUGGAAGGUGGCUUUCUUUUCGGAGAAAGUGUUUAUAGCCUUUGGCCUCUGCAAUCGGAGAGACUGAGGUCUGCAGCGUAGACUCUUCGGGGUUAGAUACAUUUGUGCUAAGUUGUAGCUUUUUAUAGACAACUUGUUGACUAUAAUUAGUCUUGUAGCUUACUCGCUUAUGCUAUUUUACCUACGCUUAGGAUGUUGAGUCGUAGAGCACGCAG
rnacentral:rRNA from 1 species